GAUUAGCUAGUUGGUGGGGUAACGGCUCACCAAGGCGACGAUCAGUAGCUGGUCUGAGAGGAUGAUCAGCCUCACUGGGACUGAGACACGGCCCAGACUCCUACGGGAGGCAGCAGUGGGGAAUAUUGGACAAUGGGAGCAAGCCUGAUCCAGCCAUGCCGCGUGGGUGAAUGAAGGCCCUAGGGUUGUAAAGCCCUUUUCGGCGGGGAAGAUAAUGACGGUACCCGCAGAAGAAGCCCCGGCUAACUUCGUGCCAGCAGCCGCGGUAAUACGAAGGGGGCUAGCGUUGCUCGGAAUCACUGGGCGUAAAGCGCACGUAGGCGGAUUGUUAAGUCAGGGGUGAAAUCCUGGAGCUCAACUCCAGAACUGCCUUUGAUACUGACGGUCUUGAGUCCGGGAGAGGUGAGUGGAACUGCGAGUGUAGAGGUGAAAUUCGUAGAUAUUCGCAAGAACACCAGUGGCGAAGGCGGCUCACUGGCCCGGUACUGACGCUGAGGUGCGAAAGCGUGGGGAG
rnacentral:rRNA from 1 species